rnacentral:lncRNA from 1 species
UGAAGUUUGCAUUUUGUGCCUUGGAAACGUGUAGUCAACACAUGAAGAAGUGCUUCCUUUAUUACAGGACAACUGGAGUGCACUAAUGAGAUAUCCAAUGUAGGGGAUGGUCCAGAUGGAAGGAGAAUUGUGUGGGAAUUUUAGACGGUUGAUAUUAAAACUGUGUCUGAACCUUUGUUGGACCGUGUGUUAGUUAGUGGAGACGUGCGCUGGACAAGUGUGAAGCUUUUGGGAAUCGUGUAGCAGGUUGAGUAGAAAUCCAACGCCCUAAUGUAGUGAGAGGUUGGCAUAGAACACAUGUCGCAUCAUGGAGAUCAUGUAUCCCCAUGUGUAGGGAUUUUUCUUGCUUUUGAUUAUGUCAUAAUUGUUUGCGAU